rnacentral:rRNA from 1 species
GACGAACGCUUGCGGCGUGCCUAAGAAAUGCAAGUCGAGCGAGGUUUAGGCUUCGGCCGACGACCUAGCGGCGAACGGUCGCGUAACACGUAAGCAACCUGCCCUAAAGUUGGGGAUAGCCCGCCGAAAGGCGGAUUAAUACCGAAUGUGGAUAUGAUUUCGCAUGUGAUUAUAUCUGAAGCAGCGAUGCGCUUUAGGAUGGGCUUGCGGCCUAUCAGUUAGUUGGUGUGGGUAACGGCCUACCAAGACGACGACGGGUAGCUGGUCUGAGAGGAUGGUCAGCCGGAUUGGGACUGAGACACGGCCCAGACUCCUACGGGGGGCAGCAAUUAGGAAUCUUGCGCAAUGGGCGAAAGCCUGACGCAGCGACGCCGCGUGACUGAUGAAGUCUUUCGAGAUGUAAAGGUCUUUGUUGGGGACGAAGGAAGUGACGGUACCCGACGAAUAAGCCCCGGCUAACUACGUG